AUUGUCUUGCGUAGCCUGCCGACGCCGACGUCGACGUAUUUGCAAGCAGAUAUUUGUAUAAAGAAGUUUCAUUCAAGAACAAUCUUCUGCGGGGCUAAAAUGUACUUGUGAUGGUAUAUGCAUGAGUUGAUCGGAAUUCGAAUCGUCUCAAGAAACUAAGGAAUAUCUUUUCACCAUAUAUACUGAGAAGUUAAUAUCUCUGAUCUGGGGAAAUGGUAACAUAAAGAUAUUGUUAAAAUGAAUUAAAAACUGCUUCGUUAUGUUAAAACAAUUAUACGUGUUAAGAAUGCAAAGAAUGAAUGUACCUAAUGUUAUCGCCUAUUGAUCUAUGGUAGUAUUACAUAGUUUUUCAAACCCACUAUGAUGAACAUCGCGAUGAUAAGUUAAAAAUUUGGCCCCUUGGAAAACUAAUACAAAGUGCAUCCAACUUCAGACUUAACCACUUUACCGUUAUAUAUUUGAACAGCUGAUAUAGAAAGGCUUGUUUGUAUAAAAUUUUCUAAAAUUUUUUGGAAUAGUUUUUGUUUGCGACCCUAUCGAAGAUAUAAGAUCGAAAACUAUCUACUAUCAAAAGGGAAAAGUACAGUUGAAGCAAAGCGGAAAAUCUGUAAUGAGUAAAGAAGAUGUGUUGACCGAACGCCAAUGCCAAAAUUGAUUUGCAACAUUUCGUUUCGACGAUUUUGAUCUUAAGGAUGGACAACUUUGAAAUAAAGUAGUUGGUCGAUGCAAAUCGUAGAGAAAUACGUAGUUUCAACGAAAUAUAUAUUUUCAUAAAAUAUUUUACACAAUAAAAAAUCGUGUUUAAGUUGCACUAAAAAAAAACGAAAUUACUUAGUGAACGAUCCAAUAAUUACGUUCCCACCCUCGAACGAAAACAAAAAAUGAUUGCCUCACAAAUAUUGAGGGUGUCUAAUGAUUUACCCUUCAGGUACUUUUGCUUUUCAAUACUGUCCUCAACAAUAUAUUAAGUUAUUUUCAACAACCCUCUAAGUUUUUUGACGGUAAAAAUUAAAUUGAGAAUCAAAAAAUUUCAUUUGUAAUAUUGUUGUAAUGGCACUUCAUUGUAAUAUUUCUGAAAUAAUGAAGUCAAAACGAAGAUGUAUUGCAAGCGUCCUCGAAAUAAUAUACUCGCAUAUAUAAAGGAUUAAAAAAACAACUAUUUUAACAUAGAUUAUAUAAUAUUUUAAAUAUUUAGAUGUAUUGUGUAAUUUAAGUACAAUUGAAUCAUGUCUUUUCAUUACUAACUACUUUGUGAAAAGCCUAAAUUAAUUUUAUUUACAAAUAGUGUACGUAGCAGUAAUUUUAAUUAUUUUACAAAACGUACUUGUAUUUUAAAAUAUGCAUGUGUGCACAUAUGUACAUAUGAACCCUGCAGACUAGUUUACUGUUGCAUACUUACAACUCGUCAGCUAGGUGACUGUCUUAUCGAAAUAUUAAUUGACAGAUCUUGAAAUAUAUCAACCUGAUACUAGUUCAAAACAGACAAACAUUUAUGAUAAAUUAUAGAAGUUAACCUCUAGUUAAGGUUCCAAAAAAUUAUACAAAAGAAAAUAAAUUCGAAAAAAACAUCUUAGUUAAAUAUAUGUUAGAAUAUUUUAAUUGGACAAACUCACAUUUGCAACGAUCGGGAAAAAUAGCGAAUGAAUGAAGCCAUUAAUGGGCCGUAGGAUAACUGACACUAGUCUGAUAUUUUCAGGAACAGUUAAUUUUCAGUUCUAGUUUUGAUAACAGGGUAUAUAUGUAUGUAUGUACAAUGCAUAUGUUUUUAUUUAUUAGAGGUGUGCUCAACUUUUGCAAAUACGUAUCUAUGUAUAUGUAUGUAGUUUUUCAAAGGACAACGUUUUGCUUUUAUUUACAUAAAUGCCUUUAAUCUACUUUCUCCCUGAGCCAGGUGCAUUAUCUAAAUAUAAAUAGUGGUGAUGCAUUUCUGAUUGUUAACAUUUGAAUUCUGUUGUUAUUGCGAAUGCGCAAUAAAAAAGAAUACAUACAAAUAAAUUAAUAUUAUAAAAUUGAGAAAUAUUAUUGGAGAUUUUAGGAAGAUGCAUAUAUGUAUAUACAUAUAAACUAUCCAUUAGUCAAUCAUAUCUGAUAUGAACUGUGUACAUGAAUAUUUUUUGUCUUGUUUAAUAAUAUAAUAUUUUUUAAUGUUGUCUGUUUAUUCAUACAUAUUUCAAUUUGUUCAGCUUUGUUCGGAGCGGUACAGCAACUGUUUUAUGCAACUUAUGGUUGUAUAGGUAUACAUAAUCAUUGUAUUUUUGUAUUUUAAAACAACGAUACAUGAAUUAUGAGCGAUAAGAAAGUUUAAAUAUAAAUAAUAUCAUAAACUUUAUGAGUUGUACAGUGCCAUCUACAAUAAGAUUUCGUUAAAAUUGAUCUUGUACAUAAUUCUAUUUCGGAAGUUUUACAGUAUUAAUUGAGCUAUUUUAUAUAUCUUUAUUUUGCUACUUAGUAAUUUUCGAUUAUAUUGUAAUUAACGUAUAUAUAAUUCUAUUUCAUUUUUAAAGGAAAGCGUACAUUAUAGGUUCUAUGAUAUUAUUUGCAUCCCCACAUAUUUAUGAAAAAUUAAUGACAAUCCGAAGAAGUGUGAAAUUGUAAUUUAUAUACACUACCCCGAGAAUUUGAAAAUGUAUGUCAUAGUCAAAAGAGUGUGGCUGUCAACCAUGGCUUAAUAUUUACCGAUAUCAGCCAUUAAGACAUUAUUAAAUAAAUUAGUACAGAGGAAUAGCUGCUGUAUUAACUGAGACCCAACAGCGUUUUCUUAUAUUUACACUAGCCACCAUGAAUUUUUUUCUUUUAUUAAUACUGAUUAUUUACAUAUGGCUAUGUGCAAAAACGAUUUACAUAUUAUAUAUGUGUUAAAUAUGAUCAUGUUUAAAGAUGUUUUUGUAACUAAUAAUCGAAGGCACCAAUCAACGAUUUUUUAAUGAAAAUGUAUUUACUUUCACGAAAGCUCUCAUUGUUGACUAUCGAACAAAAUUAUUUGCGUAUGUACACAAAACUACUUAUAGAUCCUUAUAUUUUUAUUGUGUAUUAUAUUCUGCACUUAAGCAUUCAUUCAUAUAUAUAUAUAUAAGUUUAGUACAAAAGCAGCAUGAGAAAUUGCUUCAUACAGACUUGUUUCAAAUUUAUUUUUAAUCCUAUCCAUACUUUCAUAGUUAUGUGUGUUUAUUGUAUUAUAGAAAAGCGUGAAAAAGCUUGAAAUGCAAUGUUGUAGGGUUUGGAUUAUACUUUCGUCGAUUCAGCUUUGUCUUAGAAUAAAAGUGCAUACGAAUUCAAAUUUGUAAUAAUAUGUCUUGCUGUGUAUAUUUAUAUUCAUAUUUUUAAAUUAAGUUGAUUCAACACAACCAAUCUAUUAUACGAGUACAUACAUAAGUAUUUUAUUCGAAUGCACGUGCGCUACAAUGCAUAUAUUCAUGGACAACCACAUUCAUCUACUACCAUCUUUGGAAGAUCCCUUUUAAUAAUGCCAUCGUCACCAUAGUAUAUGAGAGACAUGCUUGAAAAUUUUACUGGUGCGCAACAGGGCUGCAUACCAUUCAGGAGCCCCAUUUUUCUAUAUUCUUCUAUAAAAUGAGCGUGAAAAGUUUGAAAUGUAUCAGGAGUGCGAAAGGGACCUGUACAAUCUCCUCGACAGUAAUUAGCAAAGUAGCCACGUGGAGCAAUGAUCCAGUCGUCCCAACCCAAUGCCUUGAAAGACACAUAGAACGAUUCCUUGCAACAUUGGCCAUGCAUUGCACCAACACAAUCAAUUGCACGCCGUCGUACACGUCGAAGACGUCUCGUUUCUGUACGUAAUACCAAGAAUGGUCGAUUAGGACUUAAUUCUGAUGAGAUUUGACUUUUUAAACGCAUAUACUUUUGCGGUUGUAAAUUAACGUUCGGUUUGUCUCGGGCCUGAGUAACUUGUGGUUGCAGUCGGUUAGACUGAUCCGAAUAUCCUAAUAAUGCAUACGGCCGAAGUAAUUUGGUUCGAACAUUAUUCAAUUUAUAGUUGUCUACUUUUGAAGUGAAGUUCUUCUUAGUAUUGCAGUCAAAAAUAUGAUUACAUAACAAAGAAUGUUUUGCUUUUGGACGCUGUUCUACUCGUCCUUUAACCUCAAUCUCUUUUUCUGAAAUAAUAUUAUGGUUCAAGGGCUGUUGUGUCCACUGUACUACAAGAUCAUUACGGUUCAAAGAACGGUAUCGUUUUUCUCGCUGCGGAUAUAAAAGUUUCUGCUUCGAAUUCUCCAUCGGAUGAUUAAACAAAUGUAAAAUAUAAUGCUUGCCACAACCUGUACAAUCAAUAAGAAGUCGCAAUUUUUCCGUCGGUGCUCGUCUAUACCAGUCCCGGACAGUUAGUGUUAUAUCGAAUUUUUGCCAGCCUAAGUUCAUUAUAUCCACAUCGUAAGUAACACAGAGUUGAGGAGACUUAUCGCAUUUCUUUAAAAUAAAUGUAAGAAUAUAUUUUUAGUUAUAAUCAAAAUUUUAAUAUAUGUAUAAACACUGUAGAGCAAAAAAGUACAAAUUAAUAUUUACAUUAGAACGUCCAGAAAUAUUAAUUUUAUCAUACAUACCAAUCAUAUAUAUUUUUAUGUUAUACACUAUAUAUAUUAACUUGUAUAUAAAUAUGCAUAAUAUAAUCGAAAUAUUUUAGAAAAUGGCGAAUAAGGAUAAAAAUUAGCUAAUGAAAUAUACUAUAUUUUGUGUACCGCUUAAAUGGAAUGUGCAAAAUCUUGAGAAAAUUAUAUGAAGAGGAAGAGCAGCAAAUUUUCCCAACACGAGAUGGCUGUAUGAACGAAGGGUUAACACCAAAAGAAAGUCACCGGUAAUGAACAACAAAAGUUUUUACAUCUAAACUCAGAUCAAGGAAGCGUUAAGUUCGGGUGGAGCCGAACAUUGUAUACCCUGGUGAAUUACGAGACGCAAAGCCUGGGAAGGUGUUAGCACAUUUUGAUCGAUAUAUUCGACAGAAUAUCGAAAAUCAUUAUGUGUAGCAUAUGGAGUAGUUCUUCAAUAAAUUUUAUCUACUUUCUCCAUUAAACCAAAUUUUACCCCAGAUUAUACCCUUACCUUAAGCUUUUAUUACGUCUAUAUAUCAUAAUUUAUCUUUGCAAGUUAAGAUUGUUUGUAAUUUUAUUGCUGUAAUGUUAAACAUUACACGAAAAUUUUGUAAUUUUUUUAUAUUAGUAGUGAGAAAACUGGUAACUUCGUGGAGAUACUGUAUACUUUUUUAACUAAAUUUAUACAUAAGAACAUACAUAGGCAGAUGUACUUUAAUUUACAUCCAUUUAUUUUACCUUCUUAGUUGUAUUGUUUUCCUUAACUUGAAAUAUCCAAAGUUUUGGUUUCGUUUUAUUUCCACCACAUCCACGAUUUUUUCUAUUCGUAUUAUCGUUGCACCCUGUUGCUAAUUUAUCAAUCCGAAUGUGAAUUUCAGCUUUUCUAACGAAAAAUUUUUCAUUGGGCAUGUCAUUUGUUUGUGGCGAGAAUUCAACAAGUCGAUGUUGUUUAAUCAUUUUUCCUGUAAGAAUAGGCAUACUUAUGUUUAAGUUUUUUCUUAAGUUUUUUCGUUCUUAAAAAUGGUGAUUAUUCUUAGCAUUAAUGUAAUUAAGCUUCUUAAUGCAGGGAAUGUAGAAAGCAUUUCUUGAAUUAUCUGUAUCAACCCAAUAAAGACCCCAGGCCCGAAGGUCUCGAAGGGCCCGUAGUAAAUUAAAUUUAUUUGACCUUAUAUACGCCUUGAUGCUGAGAAAAAAUCUACUUCAUAGAGGAAUGUUUUCUCGCUUUUGUAUUACCGUGGAAAGGGUUACGAUAAUGGUAGUAAUAUGAGCGCUAAAUAUGAAGGAACGCUAAAUUACAUCUAACGUAAAAAUAGUAUGCAGUUCUUUCGCCCUGUGGUGCCCACACGCUGAACGGCUGGAGUCAAUUAGCUGUAUGCUGUCCUCGAGCAAUAACUGUCGUUCAAAAUUUUUUCUAUAUUUUCAGUAACAGCACAUAACGUUGGAAAAUUCUGAAAUCAAAAAUACCCAAUUAACUUCACUGCCUCAAGGUGGUCUGCCAGAAUCGCGGCUGUCAAGCCAUUUUCGAAACAUUUUCCCGGAUUGAUAAACGCUUUGAAAAAAGUAAAAAAACUCAACCUUACGACAGAAACUUGUCGGGACGUUGAUGGAAUUUUGAAAUAUAUGAGAAAAUUUUAUUGCGUUUUGAUCGCCUCCAUGUGGUUUAAAAUCAAUCAAUUAAUGUAUGAAAGGAACUUGUUUCUUCCAGAUAUCAAUGGCACCAUCGACACUGAAGGUUAUAAAUAUAGAAAGCCCUCUUGCGGAUUUGCAAUUUCUGCUCGCUCAGUAGAAAGCAAUUUAAGCAAAGAAUUUAGAACAUAUCGAGACGAUGUUGCCAUGCGGAAGAAAUAAAAAACAGAAAGGACCCACAUGAAGAAGUGGAUAAAAAUUGCAGUAAAGAAGAAAUUGAAACUGCAUGUUCAUAAACUUAAUAAUAUAAAAAUACCGUUUUUUUUAUUAAUUAGAUCGAUAAAUAAAUUAAUGUUUGAAUUAGAUGUUUCUGAUGUAAUCUGAAAAAUGGUUUUUAACUGAAAGUCUAUGUAAAAGUAUGAACUGAUUUAUACAUUAUUGAAUUUCACAAACCUACAAAACAAAUUUGUUCCACCCAACACGUCGCUAUGCUGGGAAAACUUUAGUUUAGCAUCCCACGAUUUCAGGGUUAAGAGGGAUAUGGUUGGAUAGAGGAGAUUCUCCAGAUCACGAAUAUAUAUAAUUAUUGCCGCCGAAAACUUAUAGUUUUCGAGAUAUUUGCAUUUUAAGUUGAAAAUUUCACAAAUUUCAUUUUACAAUUUCUCGAUUUAUGGUUAUAUUUUCUUUUAUAUUAUGCACUUAUUAUACACUAACUUUUCACUUCAGUGUUUCUACAUAUUUAUUUUAUAUUAAAUAUUUAAGUAUUUGCUUUAAAUAAGCAUUUAAUUUUUACACAAUUUUCGUAAUAUGAACAAUAACAAAUGGGUUCCAUGUUGUCAGAUAAUAAGUGUUGCCACUUAUUUUCUAUAAAGAAAAUUUUCGGAUCAGGCAACUUUAGCAUACAGCUGUUAAGUUAAGGAACGGGUUUCUACCAAAAUAGCUGACACAUUAAAGGAAGGGCAUUUGGUUUACAUUAAAAUCACGUACUCAUCUGCAGAAAAAUCUUUGGCUACAGCAGCAAUCAACAGCGUAGUUUAAGCUAAGAAUGAAUAUGUAAAAUAAAGGCAGACUCAAUUUGGAGUUCAACCAAAACGGUAAAGUGUAAUUUUAUUAAUUGGCGCCCGAGCGAGGACACAGUCAAUUUAAAAGUGAAUAUUGGGCUAAAAAGUAUCCUUGCAAUCUAUAAGGAGAAAUAAGCAAUAAGUGCAAAUUUACAUUAUUCCUCUGCCACAAUCAACCAACUUUAAUUGAGCAGAAUAUUCAGCAACAAUGCGAUACCCAUCAAUCAAGUGUUCAAGGUAUCUGGACAUCAAGGACCUCCAAAGGACAAAGGAGAAAAAAUAAAAAAAGCUAGCUGUUGAUUGGAGAACACUUCGGCAAAUGGAUCAUUUCGCUAUGCAACUCGCAUGGCGACGAUAUGUGGCAAGCAUGAAUUUUAAUUGCAGCUGACGAUAGUGUUAUUACUGGUAGUGUUAGCCAGAAAUCGCCUGAGAGUUAAAUGAAUGCACCAAAGUGUAAUACGUCAUAAAGCAGAUCAUUCAUAGUAGCUUUUAACCGACAUUUAUGUGACUUUAUGCAUUCGUAACAGAUAAUGAUGUUGCUUGCUAUCAAAACUUUGGUCAUUGCUGAAUGUUUCGCUAUGUUAGUGCCAGUUCAUACACAUACUUUUUUGUAACCCAAACCUGUAUAUUGUAUCGUAACUACGCAAUUCAGCCUUUUUUUAUAUAUGCAAAUAUGUAUGCAUAGAAUAAUAACUUUGAAAAGUUGUGAAUAAGGAGAAAAUUGUAAUACUCAAAAAUAUUCAAUUUAAAUUCAGCGGUAUUAAAUGUAAUAAUACACGAGUAUACAUAAUAAAUUCUA